rnacentral:rRNA from 1 species
AGUGAACGCUGGCGGUAGGCCUAACACAUGCAAGUCGAACGGCAGCACAGUAAGAGCUUGCUCUUACGGGUGGCGAGUGGCGGACGGGUGAGGAAUACAUCGGAAUCUACUUUUUCGUGGGGGAUAACGUAGGGAAACUUACGCUAAUACCGCAUACGACCUACGGGUGAAAGCAGGGGAUCUUCGGACCUUGCGCGAUUGAAUGAGCCGAUGUCGGAUUAGCUAGUUGGCGGGGUAAAGGCCCACCAAGGCGACGAUCCGUAGCUGGUCUGAGAGGAUGAUCAGCCACACUGGAAAUGAGACACGGUCCAGACUCCUACGGGAGGCAGCAGUGGGGAAUAUUGGACAAUGGGCGCAAGCCUGAUCCAGCCAUACCGCGUGGGUGAAGAAGGCCUUCGGGUUGUAAAGCCCUUUUGUUGGGAAAGAACAGCAGCAGGUUAAUACCCCGCUGUUCUGACGGUACCCAAAGAAUAAGCACCGGCUAACUUCGUG